AGAGUUUGAUCAUGGCUCAGAAUGAACGCUGGCGGCGUGCCUAACACAUGCAAGUCGGAUGUGCCGCAAGGUGCAUGGCAGACGGGUGAGUAACGCGUGGGGAAUCUACCUCUUUGUGGGGAAUAACGCUCCGAAAGGAGUGGUAAUACCGCAUGAGACCGUGGACUGGGAUGUCCAUGGUGAAACCUGGGGACCGAAAGGCCUGGGGCAAGGAGAGGAUCCUGCGUCUGAUUAGCUAGUUGGCGGGGUAAUGGCCCACCAAGGCGACGAUCAGUAGCCGGCCUGAGAGGGUGAUCGGCCACACUGGAACUGAGACACGGUCCAGACUCCUACGGGAGGCAGCAGUGGGGAAUUUUGCGCAAUGGACGAAAGUCUGACGCAGCAACGCCGCGUGGGUGAUGAAGGUCUUCGGACUGUAAAACCCUGUCGUCAGGGACGAAGGUGGGGGCGUUAAUAGCGCUUUCAUUUGACGGUACCUGGAGAGGAAGCCCCGGCUAACUCUGUGCCAGCAGCCGCGGUAAUACAGAGGGGGCAAGCGUUAUUCGGAAUUAUUGGGCGUAAAGGGCGCGUAGGCGGUUUUUUAAGUCAGAUGUGUAAUCCCCGAGCUUAACUUGGGAACUGCAUCUGAGACUGGAAGGCUAGAGUA
rnacentral:rRNA from 1 species